rnacentral:rRNA from 1 species
AACGAACGCUGGCGGCAUGCCUAACACAUGCAAGUCGAACGAGACCUUCGGGUCUAGUGGCGCACGGGUGCGUAACGCGUGGGAACCUGCCCUUAGGUUCGGAAUAACUCCCCGAAAGGGGUGCUAAUACCGGAUAAUGUCUUCGGACCAAAGAUUUAUCGCCUUUGGAUGGGCCCGCGUUGGAUUAGCUAGUUGUUAGGGUAAAAGCCUACCAAGGCGACGAUCCAUAGCUGGUCUGAGAGGAUGGUCAGCCACACUGGGACUGAGACACGGCCGAGACUCCUACGCGAGGCAGCAGUGGGUAAUAUUGGACUAUGGGCGAAAGCCUGAUCCAGCACUGCCGCGUGAGUGAUGAAGGCCUUAGGGUUGUAAAGCUCUUUUACCCGGGAUGAUAAUGACAGUACCGGGAGAAUAAGCGCCGGCUAACUCCGUG